rnacentral:lncRNA from 1 species
GCCAUAGUGCAUAAAAAUUGGAUUUUUCUCAGUGAUGUCUUCUAGAAUGAGAUCAAGUGAAUAAGAGAGAAGUAGAACAAUUACGAAGGCAGAGCUUCUAGUGUGACCAUCAAUGUAAAUAAACACUAACGGGAAAAGGUGGUAAGCUAAUUUCCAUUUUCAAUAGAAAUCAUUUGAUUCUUGUUUGGGUGUUACAUAUGAUUGAGAUGUCGGGUUACUAUUUUCUGGAUUCUGCUUCAGCAAGAUAUCACCUGGUUCUUUCUCACGCAUUGGGCAGAGAGAGUUUUCUAUUUGACUAGAUUGUAACAAUUGAAUGCCAGUAGGUUGGUUUUGUCUCUGCUGCACGUCGCUAGACAUUUCAUAAACCCUAGCCAUAGCUGGUUCACCUUUCAAUUCCAAACAGCAGGAGAAAUAACCAGAAAAUCAUAAACCCAACUGAAAACAGAAAAACCCUGAACAGAGAAAUCAAUUACCUUACCUUUUUCCAAUUCUGGACAAUUUUAGAAUAAUCAGAGGUUGUAACAAUUGAAUGCCAGUAGGUUGGUUUUGUCUCUGCUGCACGUCGCUAGACAUUUUCUCUCAAAUUGGGGAUGGGGGUGCACCCUUCUCUUGAUAAGACUGCUGUAUCUGACUUCAACUUAGUGUUCAGUCUCUUCUGCAGUUUGUCUGGCACUCAUGAAGCACUCCAGAUAUAUAGCAAUCUUUGAACUCUACUUCAUGAAAUCCAUUGUCAGGAUCCUGUUUCUACUGCAAUUUUGGAAUAAACACCAUCGAACAAUGUCUUCCUUGUGUACCGAGAGAGACAGUAAAAAGGAAAAAAAUACUGUCAAUACAUCCGUAAAAAAUGAUCUCCAUGCUUCAAAAUGAUAGUCAAAAGGAAAACAAUGAAGCCAAAACGCAUGUCAACAUGAAUUAAUCCACAAUAUUACUGGUCAUUGAAUCUACUUAAUCCUAAGAGAAACAGGAGGUGAGGAUUGAUCUCCAAAGCUAACAAACUACUGGACAUUGCAAUAAUUCUAUUUUUUUAUGACCGUGAUUGUUCGGACCGGCUUACGCACACCUCGACCAAUCCC